rnacentral:misc_RNA from 1 species
CCCCAAGUUGCUGAGAGCAUGCACAGUCCGCCUCGGAAUCAGGAGCCAGCCAGAGUAUGAUGGUCGUGAAUUCAUCGAGCAUGGCACAGAGAAGUGUGUCGUGACUGUAUACAUUGGAUCCAGUCCACACCAUGUGGAAUGGAGCGUCACUACUGCUGGGCACAGAUUCAAAGACACCUGCCAAGUCGUCGCUCGCAAGGCAUUGAGGGCCCUGUGUCAGAUCUAUGAAGAAGAAGUGGCCGACACCCCACUCAGAUUCUUUCCGCCCUUUCAGAGAGACCGUCCCGCUUGGAUGGCCAGGAUGCGUGCAUUGGAGGAACAACAGCUGCUUGAGGAUGACCCCACAGUCGUGUACCUCACUGCAUACCUGCUCACCCUUGAUGCACAGUAUGAUUUCUUGGCUCGGCACCACCGUCAGAUGAUUGCCCGAGCAGAAGAUUCAGAGAAGCACAACCGUCAGCUGCAUGUGGAUCUCACCAUAGCUCAAGCCCGUGUAGCUGCCUUGGAAAGUCGUGAAGUCAUUGCUGUGGAAGCGCUGAAGCAAGCCAAGGAUGAGCACGUCCAGAAGUUGAUGGAGGCCUACUUGGUCACCCAUAACCAACGUAGAGCCCUGCGGAUCCAAGAGCCCGCUCCAUCCAACCCUGUUGAACCCAUCAAAGCUGAAGACCCCCAGAUUCUUGAAGGUCACCCGGUCUCUAUCAGAGGAGAGAAGAAGGCUUGGGAACUCCCGGAAGGAGCCAUAGUCUUGGAAGGAAUUCCAGUCUCCCCUAAGGCUAUGGAUAAGCAAGAGCACCCUGAAUCCUCCCAAGAUCCCCCACCAGAGUUGUUUGAGCCCCUCACCAUGAAGAAGAUUCCAGCACCAUCCCUUGAGGUCAAGGAAGAAGCUACAAGCACCCCGCCAGCACCACCGCCCUCUGAGGAGCUACAAGAGCCAGUCCAGCUUGAAGAAGAGUUCGACCGCGUCUUGCCAUCUCAGUCGUCGCCAGAAGAAGUCAUCAACAUCAGCUCCCUGUUGACCCAUCCAGGAGAUGUCUCAGAUUGAAGCUGUGAGCCAGCCUUGCUAGAAGAGAAGCUGCCAGAUCUGAGUUAGUAUGCCCAGUCCUCUGCAUGCAUUGGGUAGUGAAGUUUUCUUCGCUUUGGCUAGAGCCCUGCAUGUAUGAGAGGUAAUCGUGUAGACUUGUGUUUUGCAAAACUCUAAUUGUGUGGCCCCCUAGGGCAUUUCAAAAAUGAAUUUCGCUUGAUGUUUUCUCCCCUUUUGAGUGCAUAUGUGAUGCUUUAACGUUAGUGCUCAUAAGUUGCAUUUAGCAUAGUUCUCAAUUCAGGAGCCAAGCAAUAGUAGUUAUGCUUAGCCCCCGAAUCUGAGUAGCCCGUGCUUUAGAAAAACUCUAUUCUUCCCUUACUCAAAACAUUUGAUUUGUUUGUGCUUAUCAUUGCUGAGCUUGUGUGUUUUCUUCCUUUUUAAGAAAGGUUUUCUCUAAAAACAUAGAUCACAAAUUAGAUCUAAUCCUCACCUUAUGCUUCCAUUCUCAUCUUAACCCAUCUCAAGAGAAAAGUGCCUUACCCAAGAAGAUACCGGGAAGCUUACCCUUGAAGCAUGGAAUAAGCUACAGAAGAAACCAGUCCAGCCGCUCAGUCAAAAGGACCGACCGUGAGAAUCAAAGCACUGCCCCUGAGUCAAAGUAAACAGGAAAAGAGGACAAAAGGAGUUAUUACCAUACAGAGAGGCAAAGAUUCUUAGAACCAGAGACCACAAACAUAAGGGUCAUCGACCCCACCACUCACUAGUGCCCCCGCACGCGUGCCCGCCUCCAUGCGCACUAGCACCGCCGCC